GGCAGAGUUUUACUUCAGACUUGCUCAGUAACAACUGGAACCCAGGAGAAAACAUGCUACAUCAAGGUGUGUGUGAGGGGUUCUUUAUCUGUCAGUAGGAAACUCUACCUGCAAAAGCACCUGCAGGGCUCAGGGUACCUCUGGCUCAAUGAAUUAGCUUGCACCCUAAAUCCCAGCAAGGAAGCCAUGUGUCCUGCAUUGGAAACCCAGGGCUUCUGUGGGCACUGAAGCCAGGUGCACCCUAGGAACACCCCCAUUAUGCUAACUGCCCCCAUUAUGAGUCUGGCAAGCAGGGGCACUGGGAAAGGUUGCUGGGGAAACAUCCCAUGGCCAAUAAGCACACCAUAGGGGGCUGCAGCUGAUGCCAGGGACCAGCUGGCCAGCCCAGCAGCAGCUCUAUGGGAUAAUGACACAAGAUUGACACCAAUGUAUGAAUAACGAGGCUGCUAAGGAGAUGGAAGGGCUGUCCCCAUCCACAUGGUGGGAGGGAGGAGCUAAGGAGGGAGCUGAGCACUCUAUAAAGGGUCUCUGUCUUCACUCAGUCUGGAGCAGUGAGGAAGAAGGAGAUGCUGGACCAAGAGCCAAAAGAGAAAGGGCAAAAGGGCGAAGAAACAAAGCUGGUUACCCUAACUUUAAAAAGGAGGCAGCCCUGUUGUACUGACCGUGAUGUGGCUGGUUGAGAAGCUGUUGGAUUGCCAGUUUCCUGGCCAGAAGGAAGUCUGCAAGAGCCUGGCGUGGGGAGCUGUCCUCCAGGAGCAUGAUGGCACACAAGGCUUCUGCCACUGCCUGGUCUGACACGGUCUGGGACUUCAGCAGAGACUUGCUCUCCUGCAAGAUUGUGGAUCUGCCAAGGAAAGGAACCAGACAGUGACCAAGUGCUGGAGGGAGGAGGUCUGGCAUUUGACAGAAACUGAAGUUUGGUUAGUAGUUUCUGCUCAGGAUCUCUUAAGUACUGCAGAAAUGUACUGUUACUUAAUCAUAUAAUGGCUUCAGUUGGCCAUAAAGAUCAUCUAGUUGCAACCCCUGCUGUGGGCUGGCUGCACAUGGCCUUGUAUACCUCCAGGGAUGGAAUACCCACGGCUCUGGGCAGCAGUGCCAGGGCCUUGACAACCUCUGGGUAAAGAAUUUAGUCCAGAUGUCUAACCUGAAUCUCCUUUUUAGUUCAGUGCCAUUCUCCUUUGUCCUAUCACUAACAGCCCAUGUAAAAUGUUCUCCCUUUAGCGUUCAGUGCUCGAGAAGAGCUUGUGAUGCAGAAAUGAGGUCUGUCCACUUUCAACACCCCCAGCUCCCCCAGCCUGGGGGAUAAUGUUGCAUGUGGUGCCUCGCAGGACACAGCAGAGGGGGAUAAUCCCUGUCAACACAGCUCAGGAUGCCGUUGGCCUUUGGGGCUGUUUCACACCCUUCUUUAACCCCCCAACACCACAUCGCUGCUCUCAGCUCAUCCCAUUGCCCACCUGAAGUGGCUGGCGGCGGCCACUUGGCGCAGCAGGAUGGGGAAACGAGCCAGAAUGGGGCUGUAACGAGCCCGGGGAGCAUCGAGCUGCAUCAAACCGUGCAGGUGACGGCAGAGCAGGUAGAGGUGAGCGGCGGGCAGGUACCGCCCGGCUUCCAUAGCGCUCCACGCCCGUUCGGGGAUAUCCAACAGCAGCUUCAGCUGUGAGGCAGCUCGAUACAGCUUCUCGUGCAGCCGUGGCGGCUCCUGCGGUUGAUAAUUAAUUAAUUAACGCCAUUAAUUAAUGUGAACAUCCCCUCGCCCACCCGCUCGCUGCUCACCUGCGGAGCUGGGCUGGGUCUCGUCACCCCGCCUCGUUGUAGGCCCCGCACGGAGCCCAGCAGCCUCUCAGCGCUCAGCCUCAUCUCCGAGAUGGUGUCAGCCGCCUCGAUCAGGUCUCGGUAUCGUUCUCCCACCAUCUGUCUCAGCUCUUCUCGCUUCUGUUCGAUGCCGGCCCGCAGUUUCCGUUCCGCCUCACGCAGCUCGGCCGCUGUGUGAGCUUCGAACAGAGCCUCGGCCUCAGCGCCCCGCAACCCCACGGCCGCCAUUACUGUGGUGCGGGACGGAAGUGAUGUGGUGCCGCCAUCUUGGAGUCGGGUAGGGCUACUUCCGGUAGCGUGCCGCCAUCUUUGUGCCGGGCGGAGUGCCGCCAUGUUGCUAUGGUAGGAGAGAUGCGGGGGGAACACCCGACCUGCGGGCCUUGGGUUCGGGUCCCGGUCCCGGUUCGGCUCCCUCCCUCCUGGCUUCUGGUUCAGGCCCAGCCUUAUCCGCAGCGCUAAGACACGGAGCCGGGCCUCAACUCAGCCGCAAUGCCCUGCGGGCACCGCUAGGGGGCGCCCUUAGUACGGCCGAGCCCUCUAUGUGCUCUGCUUAUGGGGUGGGAUGCUGCCAUGUACCCAUUGAAAACAGCAAAUCCCCCCUUUUUUUAGUUAAAUGUUUGAUUUGAUGCUGUUUUGUGGGUGUUUUUCCCACUUUAAGUGUAGCUCCGACCUGAAAUACGCGUGUUAUCUCGUGUUUGCAGUCCCUGGAUGCAACAAGGCGAGCUCAGAGCAAUGCAGGUCCUACACAGGGCACUUAUUGGCUUUCUUAUUGCCUGUGUUCCUCUAUGGGCAUUUAAUCUGUAGCAGAGUCAAUGUUUAAACAUUGCAGCACAACCCUCAGUGCUCCUAUGGAGCACACACAGCCCUACCUGGUGCCACUGCCAUCAGUGGGUUAAACCACCAGCAGUUGGUAUUUUAUAGGCUCUGAUCCCUUCAGAAACACCACAGCCUGAAUAGAAAACCUGCUGCCUUGGAGCUGUUCAUAGGGAGUUUGUGUAACCCUCGUACCCGCAGCUCUUUGUGGUCACGCUUUGUCUGUGACCCAUCUCGUUUUGUGGCCUGAGUUUGUGCUGCCUUGGAGCAAUGGGGAGCUUUUAGGGCAGCCAGCUCUACCAUAGGGACACUCUGAGCUGAGACCAACCCUGCUGGGGGAGCUACAGUGAGAUGGGAGGGGGAACAGUGAGACUAUGGAGGACACAAAGUGUGCUCUGCCCUUGGUAAUACUCUGGGUUUGGUGCCUUUUCACCUCUUGGGAGGAGUCCCAGCCUCUUCUAUACUAAUUUUGCUCUUGCCCAGCUCGGGCACAUGCACAGAAAGUCAGAAAUGGUAGGAAAACUUGUUUACUUUCCUCCCACCCCCAUCCACGUUUCCAUCCCUGUGACACAGACAGCUGGGAGCCUUUGCUGCAGAAAGGCUCAAUUCCGCACCGACACCGAGAGAAACCAUAUUGCCACCGUGAGAAAGGCUUCAGGCAGAAAUGCUCUCCAUCGUGUUCCAGUCACAAUGUCUUACACCAGACCCACACGCACUACACAGAGCACAGAUACACAUACAGAGGGGUGUAUGUACAGAACAUGGCAGUGUGGCACGGCGCUGCUUGGAGAACCCCAGCUUGGCUAUUAAGGGCUCAGCACUCAGCAGCAGCCUAAACUCUUUUCCCCUUGCCCUGCUCAAGUGCUGUUGCUGCCUGUGAGCACAGGAGCUGCUUCCACAAUCCCUCCUGGCUCGUGCACACCACAGCCAGCCCCAUAGGGAUGACCCACAGGGCUGGGUCUGACUGCUCCUUGUGGGGUGCACAGCUAAACAGAGGGGUGCAGAGUAUCUCUACAGCAUCAGGGAUAACCAAACCUUCCGCUGGCAUAUCUGCUAUAUAUACAUAUGUACAAUCACCCACCCCUUCCCUCCUGACCAUGCAGUACAGUGUGGGGUACUUGGGCUUUUUGUCCCUUGUCUCCUUCUGGUCAGGGCACAGAUCCAGACAGGUUCCCCUGAUCCCAGCUGGAGUCAUGUCCUUGUGUUUUGCUGUCCUGGUCCUGGAGCAAUCAGCAGGAUGAAAUCUGACACGAGGAGUGUGCAGCUGGGGUUGCAGGCUGACAGGGAAGGGCAGAUGUGUCCUCAGGCCAGAAAACAGCAGUUUGCUUUUCAGACGUAGCGAUGGAAAGUUCGACUUUGAGGUCUGCUGCACUCUUUGCCUGUGCCUUAAUGAUGAUCUCCCCUCUGUACAGCCGUGGCAGAGCUGGGACCAGGAGGAUACAGGCUCUCCCUGAGAGGUUGGAAAUCAGCUUGUUCAUAGCAAGGGCUGAAACAACCCCAGGAUGCAGCUCUCAGGCUAUGCACCCCAGUACUCCCAGCACAAACAUCAUUGGCAUUUCAGAGCCCCGGUGCCCUUAUCUUGCAGUCCCAGGGGCUCAGCUCUUGCAUCUUUCUGGUGCUGUUUUAGGGAGCUAGUGCUGUUAGUGUCCCCAUUGUGCUCCCUGUUAGCCCCUUGGUGUGACCAUGGGGCCAUAUGCUGCUUGGGGCUGCUCCAGCAAGGCUCUGCAGGCAAUGGUCUGAUGCUGGCUCCUACUCUUCUAUCUGCUGAGCAGAAACAAGGGUACUGAGGGGAUGGGGAGGGAUGUGGGAACCAAGCCUGGCUCUGAGCAAUAGGAUGUAUUCAGAGCCUGGGAGUCGUUGGAUCCUCCAUCAAGGAUAAGGGACAGAGACUUGGGGAAGCCCUCCAGAGAUAGAACAGUGCAGUUUGAUAGGAAACUGUUAUUUUAAAGAAGUCCAAGGCAGCUUUGGUGCUGAUAUCAGGAGCUGUAGAGAUUCAACAAGAAGGCUGAAGAGCCAAACCCAGCCUCUCAUUACCCAGCAGACUUUGGCUGCCAAGCACUGGAUGGAACCAGCCACCGCAGCACCAGGAGCCAGCCUCUGUCCUAGGACACAACGUUCCUCAUCUGUAUGUGGGAUCAAGUGAUGGAAUUGAGGGCAACCUGUUUCUCAUGGGCUCGGGGUCACCACGCAGGUGCUGGCACACAGGAUCGUACCACACCUGCAAUUUGGGUUAAAUCUGUUCCAGCCAGGGCAGGAGGGAGUUGUAAUUAAUCUUAUUUAUCUGGAAAUAGUCUGCAUGUGAAGUGGCAGCAGAGCUGCUCCGGCACUUGCAAGAUCAACCUAUUUGCUCUGAAAUGAACUGGGAGAGAUAUCUCAUUAUGCUGCUGGCAACCCUGCGAGGCUUUUCUGAGCAGAUCCAAUAUGAGGUCAAGUUCCCAGCUAAAAUCAAGUGGCUGAGAAGGAAAACUUUGUUACUCGCAGCAGCAACAGCGCUGCUGUUUAUUAGGUAGCAACGAGCCAGCCUGAAAGCAGCACACAGAGGAGUUGCCCCUAAAUAGAAAGGGGAACACCCCAUGCUUCCCUGCACUAUGGGGAGGUGAUGGCAGGAGCACUGCCAGCACUGCAGCACCUGCUGGGGGCUGCAAACAUCGGGGUCUUAACCCUUUCCCUGCCUCCCUGACACCUCUCCUGCCCCAGGCUCUUCCCAUACAAAUAACUCUUCUCCCACCCACCAGAUAUUAAGCACCCGGAGCGCAGCUGAUGCGUCGCUGCAGCCUUGACACUAAAGCCUUACACUGGCAGAGAGCUGCACCAGGCUGGCAAUCACGCUCCGAUAUUUCAUGGUAAUGUGACAAGCUGCUCUUGUUUUAAUUCCUGCGGCAUCAAUAGGCAGCCUGCGCUGCCGUCACCACUGCUCGUGUUGGAUUUAUACCCUUUAAUGAAGCUGUCGUGGGGACACGCUCAGCAAGUGGCUGCCAGCAGCUCAGUGCUGAGCCCCCGCAGAGGUAAAUGGUUAAAAGCAAAUAAAUGCUGACAGUGCCCUACUUUGCCCCAGUAACCCAAGCCCCAUACCCAGAGGAGUGUUCUCGUGCUGGUAUCUGAGUGAACUGUGCCAGGGAGCAGGCACUGAGCCCAGCACUGAGCUCCUGUGGGGUUCUGGGACUGGUGGGGGUGCUGGGGUUGCAAAGUAGGACAGGGGUGAUGCACUAGGAGGGGGGCAUCACUGCAAAACCCCAGGAUAAUAGGCAUUAUCUGCCUCGCACUUCCCCUCCUGCUCACACAGUGCUGCUGAGAAGGGAAACCACGGUGAAGGGUUUGAGUGCUGACCCUGAGGCACGUUGGGGCACAGCAGAUCACUGCAAGACAUUCUUGAACAGCUAAACUCAGCGGGCACUGCAGCAGCUGGGCUCUAAUUGCUGUGUUUGGUGCAUGUCAGCUCCAGGGGUUAUGCCAUGGGAGGGCACGUGGUGGGCUGAGGUUUACUGUGCUCCCAGUGGCUGGGCCAGACCCACCACCCCCUCACUACAUGACCUGCACCCCAGGGUUCCCCUUACCCAUGUUGGCUACAGGAGAGGCACUGGGGUCUGGAUGCUCUUCUCUGUUCUUCCUCCUGGCUUUGUGCUGAAAGCCCCUGGGGGAAAUGCUGUCCCCCCUCUGCAUUUACCUGCAGGACUGGCACCCCAGCAGUGACAGGGGUGGCUCUCAGUGGUCACAGCCUUGCCGUUAGCAACAGGGUGUGCAGACAUGAGCAGCUGCAGCCAUCCCACAGAAGAGGCAGCCGAGGGAUUCUUCUCCAGGCAUCUCAGAGGCUCCUUCUUCAGCUCAGGCUCCUCUGCUCCAUCCAGUCCUUUAGGCUCAGAUGAGGGUCUGGGCCAAGUCCCAUUGAGCUGUCAACCAUUCUCUCCAUCACCCCUUUUUCUUUUGUGACUUGCCUGGAGUGAGCAGGGAGGUGUUCUUGGUAAGCAGGAGAUGUUCGCUCACUUCUCCAGCCCUGGUGAUUCUCUGUACCACCACAGGGACAGGACAAGCCCACAUCUCAUGUGUCAAUAGCAGGAUGAGCACUGCUGUACUCCAAACCCCAAUAUUAUACUGCUGGGUAAACAUUUCCAAGGAUUUCCUACUGGAUCAUACAGUGGCUGCUCAACCAGCCCAGCCAGGAGCAACCAGAGACUGAUGUGAAUGGAUCCAGGAGGAGAAAAAUGAAAAAGUGGGGAAAUCCCGUAGGAUCAGUUUCCCACUUUAUAGGAUCCCAUAGGUCAUAGGAGGGAGGAAGGCAGGGGCUCUCCUGCAGCAGGGAGGCUGUGGGGUUGGCAGAGGCAAAACAGGAGCAUGGAGGGACUCGGAGAUGUUGGAGAGGGCUGUGUCCUCGGGCAGCCUGCCUCUGUCCUGCCGUGCCUCCUCCAUGCAGGACAGCUCUCUGCAAAGGAGGCUGUCAAACAGCAGCAGGGAGGCUUUGGGGUAGAUGUAGCUGAGUAACUUACAAAGUCAGGCUGAACGUAACCCCUUGUCUCCCCAGGGAGGACGUGACUGCACAGCAUGCUUGUGCUCACCAGGGAGCUCCCAGCAUCUCUUGGCUCUGAGCUGGCACAGUUCUGCAGUAGUAUAGGCAGUGUGUGCACCUGUAGUCUCAGCUCCUCCUGAGGCCACCCCCCACACACUCAGGUCCCAGCCCAGCCAGGCUGCCGUUCUCCAUCCAUCAGUUUGAUGUGAGCACCGUUCUGGGGCAGAGCACCCAAAGCCAAUUUCAGCCCUGUGGG